ACCUUCGUGGUGUAACGGUUAGCACACUCGGCCCGUAUUCGAGAGGUCGAAGGUUCGAGUCCCGUCGUGGGCA
rnacentral:tRNA from 1 species